UGGGGUAUAGCUCAGCUGGUAGAGUGCUUGCCUCUCAUGCAAAAGGCCCUGGGUUCAAUCUUCAGCACCUCUA
rnacentral:tRNA from 1 species